CAUGAUCAGGUCCGCUUCUUC
rnacentral:siRNA from 1 species